AUGCGGCGGUGUCGGGGCGCGGGGCUGGCGGCGCUGGCCGCGGUGCUGCUCGUGGUUGUGGCCAGAGCUGAGGUACAGCAGGAGCCGUCACUGGAGACCACCGAGGGCAGCGGCAUCAACAUCAAUUGCUCACAUCCCAAAAUCCAGGGCACCGAUUGGAUACAGUGGUACCGUCAGCUCCCGGGCAGAGAACCCGAAUUCCUCGUGACCACUCUUAAAGGACUCAAGGAUGUGCCGGACAUCGCAGGAGAGCUGAGGGUGUCAGCGGAUCGGCGUUGGAGCGCGCUGUGGCUGCGGCGGCCCCGGCGCGGGGACGCGGCCGUGUAUUACUGCGCGCUGGGCGCACGGGCAGAGGAGCCGGGGCUGCGGCCGGCCGCCCUCGGCCCGACACCCAACUGCGGAGCCCCGCGCCUCUGCCAGCGCCUCUCGCCCUCCGCCUGCGCCUGCUGCUGCUCUCAGCCGCCUCGGCAAAGCGAACAGCUGCUCCUGCAGAGCGCCUGCCGCGCCCGCUGA